GUGGCUGCUGUGUUGCUAUUGAUUCUCGUGGAGACAAACUCAUUUGAAGUCUUGCAGCAGUAAUGGAUUCUCCCGUUUCUCUCUCAAAAGUCCUUAGUGUGGAAUGGGAGAGAAUGAAGUGAGAUUGCUGGCUGGAGGUUUAAGACUAAGAGGGAAUGGUUGUUGGCUGAACACUUGAGCACUCUACGGAGAUGGUACAGAGGCUGAAAUUCAGGGAGGAAGUGGAGGAAUUAAAGCCAAAGCUUACAUCCUUUGAAGUCGGCAGCAGUAAAUGAAGUCUUUCUUUCUUUUGGUGAAGUUUUUAGUGUAGAAUGGGAGUGGUAUGAAGGAAGUUUGCUGUUGAAUUAUUAAAGGAGUGAAUUUGGUAGCUAAUCUUGAAUAUCUAGUCCUCUAUGCCAUGUGAAAGCCUUGAGAGAGAAUAGGUAAAGUUGUGGCUGAUUGACAGCUUGUUUGUUCCCACACGCAUGCCUUUCCUUUUCUUUCUUGUUGCUGCCGUAAUAAUAGGAAUGUAGGGAGUAGGCUAGGAAUUGAGUGAUGUUUGUAAUAGAUAGUGUAGAGUUGUGGGUGUGACUAAUGAAAUUCUUCAGUGUUGGUCAUGGUCAUUUUAUAUCUUACUAUUAGUAUCUGCAAUACUAAUUCUAGUCUUGCUAUUUAAUGGUGUAUUUGGGUAUCUGAAAAUGUAAUACAAUCUCUAGUUUGCUACUAUACUGAAUACUCUAAUAAAUCUUGUUAUUCGAUA